AACGGUGAAGCAGAGCUUGCUCUGUGGAUCAGUGGCGAACGGGUGAGUAACACGUGAGCAACCUGCCCUGGACUCUGGGAUAAGCGCUGGAAACGGCGUCUAAUACUGGAUAUGAGACGUGGCCGCAUGGUCAACGUUUGGAAAGAUUUUUCGGUCUGGGAUGGGCUCGCGGCCUAUCAGCUUGUUGGUGAGGUAAUGGCUCACCAAGGCGUCGACGGGUAGCCGGCCUGAGAGGGUGACCGGCCACACUGGGACUGAGACACGGCCCAGACUCCUACGGGAGGCAGCAGUGGGGAAUAUUGCACAAUGGGCGAAAGCCUGAUGCAGCAACGCCGCGUGAGGGAUGACGGCCUUCGGGUUGUAAACCUCUUUUAGCAGGGAAGAAGCGAGAGUGACGGUACCUGCAGAAAAAGCACCGGCUAACUACGUGCCAGCAGCCGCGGUAAUACGUAGGGUGCAAGCGUUAUCCGGAAUUAUUGGGCGUAAAGAGCUCGUAGGCGGUUUGUCGCGUCUGCUGUGAAAUCUGGGGGCUCAACCCCCAGCCUGCAGUGGGUACGGGCAGACUAGAGUGCGGUAGGGGAGAUUGGAAUUCCUGGUGUAGCGGUGGAAUGCGCAGAUAUCAGGAGGAACACCGAUGGCGAAGGCAGAUCUCUGGGCCGUAACUGACGCUGAGGAGCGAAAGGGUGGGGAGCAAACAGGCUUAGAUACCCUGGUAGUCCACCCCGUAAACGUUGGGAACUAGUUGUGGGGUCCAUUCCACGGAUUCCGUGA
rnacentral:rRNA from 1 species